rnacentral:sRNA from 1 species
AUCUUCAAUCUGCUGCGGGCAGAUGAAGUGGAUAUGAGCAUCCAUCGCGCCUGCCGUCAGGAUCCGGCCCUCGCCCGCAAUAGCCUCGGUGCCCGGUCCGACAAUGAUAUCAACAUUGGGCUGAGUGUCGGGGUUGCCGGCCUUGCCAAUCUUAUGGAUACGACCGUCCUUAAGUCCGACGUCUGCCUUGUAAAUCCCGGUGUGAUCGACGAUCAGCGCAUUCGUGAUAACAGUGUCCACCGCCCCUUCCGCGCGCGUCACCUGAGAUUGGCCCAUGCCGUCGCGGAU